AUUGAACGCUGGCGGCAGGCCUAACACAUGCAAGUCGCACGAGUGGCGGACGGGUGAGUAAUGUCUGGGAAACUGCCUGAUGGAGGGGGAUAACUACUGGAAACGGUAGCUAAUAACGCAUACCAUCGGAUGUGCCCAGAUGUGAUUAGCUAGUAGGUGGGGUACCGGCUCACCUAGGCGACGAUCCCUAGCUGGUCUGAGCGGAUGACCAGCAACAAUGGAACUGAGACAAGGUCCAGACUCCUACGGGAGGCAGCAGUGGGGAAUAUUGCACAAUGGGCUCAAGCCUGAUGCAGCCAUGCCGCGGGUAUGAAGAAGGCCUUCGGGUUGUAAAGUACUUUCAGCGGGGAGGCGUUACCCGCAGAAGAAGCACCGGCUAAGUCCGUGCCAGCAGCCGCGGUAAUAC
rnacentral:rRNA from 1 species